UACGUAGGGGGCAAGCGUUAUCCGGAUUUACUGGGUGUAAAGGGAGCGUAGACGGCUGUACAAGUCUGAAGUGAAAGGCAUAGGCUCAACCUGUGGACUGCUUUGGAAACUGUGCAGCUAGAGUGUCGGAGAGGUAAGUGGAAUUCCUAGUGUAGCGGUGAAAUGCGUAGAUAUUAGGAGGAACACCAGUGGCGAAGGCGGCUUACUGGACGAUGACUGACGUUGAGGCUCGAAAGCGUGGGGAGCAAACAGG
rnacentral:rRNA from 1 species